rnacentral:sRNA from 4 species
ACAUCCAUGAAUCGCAUCGGCAUGAUUACCACCAUUAUCACCACCACCAUUACCACAGGUAACGGUGCGGGCUGACGCGUACAGGAAACACAGAAAAAAGCCCGCACCUGAACAGUGCGGGCUUUUUUUUU